GACGAACGCUGGCGGCGUGCUUAACACAUGCAAGUCGAACGGAAAGGCCUGUCCUUCCUUGUGUUGGACGGGUACUCGAGUGGCGAACGGGUGAGUAACACGUGAGUGAUCUGCCCCCAACUUGGGUAUAAGCCUGGGAAACUGGGUCUAAUUCCCGAUAGGACUGCAGGGUGGUGCCUGUGGUGGAAAACGAUUUUCUAGUGGUUGGGGAUGAGCUCGCGGCCUAUCAGCUUGUUGGUGGGGUAAUGGCCUACCAAGGCGGCGACGGGUAGCCGGCCUGAGAGGGUGGACGGCCACAUUGGGACUGAGAUACGGCCCAGAAUCCUACGGGAGGCAGCAGUGGGGAAUAUUGCACAAUGGGCGGAAGCCUGAUGCAGCGACGCCGCGUGGGGGAUGACGGCCUUCGGGUUGUAAACUCCUUUCGACCGCGAGGAAGCCGCCUGGUUGGAAGGGUGGUGACGGUAGUGGUAGAAGAAGCACUGGCUAACUACGUG
rnacentral:rRNA from 1 species